AGUAAUUGCGAAUGAACAAGGAUAUGCUUAGCUUGACAAAUGGAGCUAUUGGCUUUGAAUUGUAUUGUGGAAAUGUAUUACCAACAGAGGUGCAGGUGCCAGCCUAUUGAAAUAAAGCGUCAAUGAGGGUGAGAAUCCUGUUUGUCAUGUGCAGCCCUUUGUGCACGGUGUAUAUUUGCUGAGUCACACUCCUUGGCAUUGGAAUGCAAAGUGGGUGGUAAGUUUCAUGUAAAGGUAAACAUGCAAUUGAGACUGAUAGCACACAAGUACCAUGAGGGAAAUAUGAAAAGGACUUUGAAAAGAGAAUUAAAUGAGUUUGUAUUUGCUGAACACAAAGUAAACAGACUUGAUUUGCUUGGUGGGAGUGUUGCACUUGCUUGACAAGAGCUUUGGGCUGUGGGUGUAAUGAUUCUUUCUUUGCAUGCCAGUUUCUAUUUGUACAUCUGAUUACCUUUGCACAUGAAUGAUAAGUCUCCUGUGGGGGGUGGAUUGCAUGUGCAUGUAAUGAUUUGUGUUUUGAUAAAUGUGUCUGGUGUAUGUGUGUGUUCCUGUGCUUGGGGAUGCUUCCUUCCUUGGACUUACAAGCCCUGACACACACAUGCUGGCAAAAUGCUUCUGCUUGACCCGUCUUGAAACACGGACCAAGGAGUCUAACAGAUGUGCAAAGUUUGAAGGUGGUAUACCUUUGUGUGCAAUGAAAGUGUCAGCUGGGGAUAUGUGCACCAGCACCCAAUUAAUUAGCGGGACAGAGGUUUGAGUUGGAGCAUAUCUAUUAGGACCCGAAAGAUGGUGAACUAUGCCUGAACAGAAUGAAUUCAGAGGAAACUCUGAUGGAGGUUCGUAUCGAUACUGACGUGCAAAUCGUUCGUCAUAUUUGGGUAUAGGGGCGAAAGACUAAUCGAACCAUCUAGUAGCUGGUUCCCUCCGAAGUUUCCCUCAGGAUAGCUGGAGUUGCUCAGUUUUAUCAGGUAAAGCGAAUGAUUAGAGGAAUUGGGGACAGGUUUGUCUUUGACCUAUUCUCAAACUUUAAAUGGGUAAUAUGUAGUGGUUGCUGUAUGGAACUUCUAAGAUAAAUGGCAAUAUUGGGUGGGCCAUUUUUGGUAAGCAGAACUGGCGAUGAGGGAUGAACCUAAUGUGGGGCUAAGGUGCUUAAUUACUUGCUCAUUUGAUACCAGAAAGGGUGUUGGUUCAUUUUAACAGCAGGACGG
rnacentral:rRNA from 1 species